UACAGAGGUCUCGAGCGUUAGGCGGAAUCACUGGGCUUAAAGCGUGUGUAGGUGGAUCGUUAAGUACCUUGUGAAAUCCCACGGCUUAACCGUGGAACUGCUUGGUAUACUGGCGGUCUUGAGCCAGCUAGGGGCUACCGGAACAAAUGGUGGAGCGGUGAAAUGCGUAGAUAUCAGGAGGAACACCGGUGGUGUAAACGGCUUUCUGGACCAUAACUGACGCUGAGGCACGAAAGCGUGGGUAGCAAACAGG
rnacentral:rRNA from 1 species